rnacentral:tRNA from 1 species
GUCUUAUUAGCUUAAUGGUAGAGCAAAGUACUUUUUAAAGGUAUUUUUAUUUUAGUUCAAUUCUAAAAUGAGAUG